GAUGAACGCUGGCGGCGUGCCUAAUACAUGCAAGUCGAGCGAACAGACGAGGAGCUUGCUCCUCUGACGUUAGCGGCGGACGGGUGAGUAACACGUGGAUAACCUACCUAUAAGACUGGGAUAACUUCGGGAAACCGGAGCUAAUACCGGAUAAUAUAUUGAACCGCAUGGUUCAAUAGUGAAAGACGGUUUUGCUGUCACUUAUAGAUGGAUCCGCGCCGCAUUAGCUAGUUGGUAAGGUAACGGCUUACCAAGGCGACGAUGCGUAGCCGACCUGAGAGGGUGAUCGGCCACACUGGAACUGAGACACGGUCCAGGCUCCUACGGGAGGCAGCAGUAGGGAAUCUUCCGCAAUGGGCGAAAGCCUGACGGAGCAACGCGGCGUGAGUGAUAAAGGUCUUCGGAUCGUAAAACUCUGUUAUUAGGGAAAAACAAAUGUGUAAGUAACUAUGCACGUCUUGACGGUACCUAAUCAGAAAGCCACGGCUAACUACGUG
rnacentral:rRNA from 1 species